rnacentral:rRNA from 1 species
GGUCCAGACUCCUACGGGAGGCAGCAGUGGGGAAUAUUGCACAAUGGGCGCAAGCCUGAUGCAGCCAUGCCGCGUGUGUGAAGAAGGCCUUCGGGUUGUAAAGCACUUUCAGUCGUGAGGAAGGUAGUGUAGUUAAUAGCUGCAUUAUUUGACGUUAGCGACAGAAGAAGCACCGGCUAACUCCGUGCCAGCAGCCGCGGUAAUACGGAGGGUGCGAGCGUUA